rnacentral:sRNA from 1 species
GCCUGGGCACAGUAGCCCAUGCCUGUAAUCCCAGUGGCUCAGGAGGCUGAUACAGGAGGAUCAUAGGUUCAAGGGCAGCCAUAGCAAUGUAGCGAGGCCCUAAGCAACUUAGUGAGACCCUGUCUCUA